UACGGAGGGGACUAGCGUUGUUCGGAAUUACUGGGCGUAAAGCGCGCGUAGGCGGAUUAGUAAGUUAGGGGUGAAAUCCCGGGGCUUAACCCCGGAACUGCCCUUAAAACUGUUAGUCUAGAGUUCGAGAGAGGUGAGUGGAAUUCCGAGUGUAGAGGUGAAAUUCGUAGAUAUUCGGAGGAACACCAGUGGCGAAGGCGGCUCACUGGCUCGAUACUGACGCUGAGGUGCGAAAGCGUGGGGAGCAAACAGG
rnacentral:rRNA from 1 species